CCUACGGGGGGCAGCAGUUGGGAAUCUUGCGCAAUGGGGGCAACCCUGACGCAGCGACGCCGCGUGCGGGAUGACGGUCUUCGGAUCGUAAACCGCUUUUCUCGGGGACGAUAAUGACGGUACCCGAGGAAUCAGCCCCGGCUAACUCCGUGCCAGCAGCCGCGGUAAGACGGAGGGGGCUAGCGUUGUCCGGAAUUACUGGGCGUAAAGCGCUCGUAGGCGGUCGCAUACGGCGGUGGUGAAAGCUCCCGGCUCAACUGGGAGAGGCCCGCCGCAACGGUGUGACUCGAGGUUGGUAGAGGCAGAUGGAAUUCCUGGUGUAGCGGUGAAAUGCGUAGAGAUCAGGAGGAACACCCAUGGCGAAGGCAGUCUGCUGGGCCACACCUGACGCUGAGGAGCGAAAGCUAGGGGAGCGAACGGGAUUAGAUACCCGUGUAGUC
rnacentral:rRNA from 1 species